GAAGAAUAUUGCACAAUGGAGGAAACUCUGAUGCAGCAACGCCGCGUGAAGGAUGAAGGUUUUCGGAUUGUAAACUUCUUUUGUCGGGGACGAAAAAAAUGACGGUACCUGACGAAUAAGCCACGGCUAACUACGUGCCAGCAGCCGCGGUAAUACGUAGGUGGCAAGCGUUAUCCGGAUUUACUGGGUGUAAAGGGCGAGUAGGCGGGAUCAUAAGUCAGAUGUGAAAUCUGGGGGCUCAACCCCCAAACUGCAUUUGAAACUAUGAUUCUUGAGUGAUGGAGAGGCAGGCGGAAUUCCCGGUGUAGCGGUGGAAUGCGUAGAGAUCGGGAGGAACACCAGUGGCGAAGGCGGCCUGCUGGACAUUAACUGACGCUGAGGAGCGAAAGCGUGGGGAGCAAAC
rnacentral:rRNA from 1 species